GGGAUUAAAUGUCUGCUACGUCCACGUCGUUAAUCCUGGGUUACGCUAAAUUCUGAUAAUAAUAGUGCAUAAAUCAAUGAUUUCUCAUCAUGUUUUGAGUUGGUUUUUUAUUUGUAGCUCAUACAAAUACUCCUGUCCCAAAAUUCCCUUUGGGGGGUAAAAAGGUGAUGAAAUAAGGAACAUUUAAGAUAUUUUCGAAAAAAAAUCGAAGGGAGCAUAAGUUGUUAAAAAUUCCAAAAAAAAUUUUUUUCAUUUUUUGCUAUGAAAUAUUAAUUUUAAAAAAUUUUACGAUAUACGGUUUCAAAGUUUGAGAAAUUCUGUACAAAAAAGUCACGUGGUGUUUUAAAAUCUGUUCAUUAGUUUUAAAGUUAUGGCGGUUCGAAAAUUUUUCUACAAAAAACUUUGGCCCCUUAUAAUAUGGCAACCCCGCUUUACACAGACCUAAAACCAUAUGCUUUAUUUUAGGUUUUACAUGUACUAUAGGAUUGCCGAAGAAAAUAAAGAACUUUUUUUUUUCAAGUGGCUUUUUUCCAGAGAAUGCCCCAUAUAUGGUAGAUAAAUACGUUUUAAAUAAUAACUUAUAGUUUCUGAAAUAUUUGCAAUUAAAGAUUUAAAAUUAAAAAUUUUUAACACGUUAUUUCUCACUGUAUAUUGAAUUUUUCAUAUAUAUUUUGCACUUUAAAUAUCUUUACACCUUACAAAUUUGUUUCUACAUAUUUAUUUUUAACAAAUUAUAUUAAAAUUUGUUGUAAACAUUUAACUUUUUGCACAAUUCUAUUUAUUUGUACAAUAACAAAAGGGUUGCAAGAUGACAAAUCAGAAGCAGAUUUCUUGGAUCUCACUAUUUCGAGGAUCCAGGCUUCACAAAGGACUAUAUUUUAUAGUCUACGUAUGUUUCCCUGUGGGAAACAGCUUUACAGCCUUUCAAUCUGACCUAACCUAACCAAUGUCUGAUUAUGCUAAGGCCGGGCAUUCGCAAAGAAAGUGGGAGACCAUUUCCUUUUUGUCUACUAGUUUGCGGGAACGACAUAUUUGGUUAUGGGGCAGACCCAUUUUCAACACAUGUUCUCCAAAUGGCCAGUGCACUGUUAUUGUGGCUCUCUCAAAAUUUGGAAUAAUCUCUUCAUAUAGGAUUGUCCAUGCUGCUACAAGAUCUAGUAUCAACCUCCUCAGGGGCCAGAAAACACAAGUACGAAUUGCAAUUUCGUCGGACCGAAGCUCGGGAACUCAAACCGUGUCGUCUAUCUGAGCUUUUGAAAUGUACAUGAAAGGAUUUCUUUCAUUUUCCAAUAGAUGACUUUUAUAAACUGGGUAAACAAACUUCUCAGGCGCCACAAGCUGUGGCCGAGCUAAGGCCACCACUUCGUUGAGGGUCGCGAAGGUAAUUAAUGUCCACUACGAACCAAGAUGUCCCGCCUUUUCAUUCGAAACUGUAUUGGCAAAAUUUGGAUCGUCGGCAUCAAGCAAUCGACCAGCAACUGGCAGCGGUCAAUAGAGAGAAAAUCAGGACGACGUCAAACAAAUAGGGUUUUAAUGAAAGUGGCAUUACGUUCAAAAUGGCAAAAAGUUAUCGAACAAAAUAAAACUUUCAUAUUAAUACAAAAACUGUAUUUUUACUAGACCUCUUAUGUAUAUCUCAGUAAAUAAAUUUAAGAUGUUACAAACCGUAACGUAAAUAAAAUAAAAAACAAUUUACAAGAGAUGAAAGCAUUAUUAUAAGAUUAGUUUAUAGAAAACGUACUUAACAACUUAAGAUAAAUACUAUUGGACGAUUAAAUAAGACUACUCGUUGAUUUAAUCCAAACAUGAGUACAUGCUACUUCUGUGACGUUUUCAACAUUAUCGCCGAGGCCCUUAACUUACUUUACAUUUUUUAAAUACGCUUCAGAACCCAAAUCCAAGCAGUUUCGUAUCUCAAUUUAGACGGUCUUGCUGAAUAGCUGAUGACAUAAAUUACGAUAAAGAUUACACAUUAUUUCGCAGUAAUCUUAAGUUCGUUAUAUUGGAUACAGAUAUGUUUAGUUGCAAUUUCAUAAUGUCAAACAUCGUUUCGUUCCAAUUAA